UCUUUAUAUAGAAAACUCCACACCCCCUUGACGUUAAACCCGGGGAGCUUCAAUAUAUUUAGUUGGGGUGACGCGAAGUCAUAAACACUUCUUACUGGCACAAUAAUUUUAGGUUUAAUGACCCGGCUAGCCGAUCAAAAAAUCAAGU
rnacentral:rRNA from 1 species